CCAAUUAUUGUGCCGUUAUACGGAUAUUCCUCGACAAAAAAGAAUAUUCCCCGACCAAUCAAAUAUUAUAUAACAACUUGCAUACUUUGCAAAAUUUAUAAAUAUUACCCACAACUAUAAUAUUAUAUCAAAUACACACCAUAAUAUUCAAAAAAAAAAUUCAAGGAAUUUAAAUCUUUAUUCAUAAAAUUUGGACUCUCACAUAAGUUUUGUCCUAUACGCCAUAAUUAUAUGGUGGGGGUACUUGCGGCGUCUACCCAUAGACGUAUCUUCCUUACGACGAUAUAAUAGAACGUGGUAAGUAAAUCCUCCGACUAUUGGAAUUAAUUUGGUGCCAAUGGUGAGACGUUUAUCUGCCCAUACCUGAAAAUGAAAAAAUAAAGCACAAAUGUUAUCGUAAACUUUUAAUAAACAGACAUAUAUGUCAGACAAAAAAUAUGUAAAUGUAAAUAUUUAAAUUUUCUGCAAGAAAGUAAUACAGCCACCAACUGCAGUUGCACCGAUCCUUGUCGCUUUGUGUAAACUGUCGUAUAAGCAUCUCAAUACGGCUACACCUCAUGCGACAAGUCCGGAAGUCGCACGACGGGGUAACUCCCCAAAUCUAUAAGCUAACCACCUUGGUCGUAAGUCUUUUCGCCCUUUUGAGCAAAUGGAAACAAUAUAUUUAGAUGUUUCCAACAACUCCUUUUUUAGUUAUUCGUAAAGCCCACAUGUAAUGAGCUUUCCUAAUACAGGUAAACCUAGGAUAUAAAACGCGUCUUCUAACAUACUGGUCAUCUCUCCAAUGAAAAAAUGAAAGAGAGAGAGAGACGUAUAUAAUGCAUCUAAUGUAUGGCAAAAAACCCUAAUAUUUACUUGUUAUUGCGAUGUAUUUGUAAUUUUUUGAUGGAUCUUGAAGAAGUUGAAGAGAAAAAUUUGUUUAGAUGUGAGAGAUUAUCAAAGACCAAUCUGCAUGGAGUUGAAGAAAAGAAUUUAAUUCGUAUCGGAGACUUGCAUGAUUUUUUUUUCAGGUCGACUGUUCAAGAUUUGCAUUCUGCAAAUCUGAAGAAGAUGGAGCAGUCGUGAUCUAGGGGGAAAGCAGGUACCGCAUAAUAAUUUUGGGGACAGUAAAGCUACUGCAUGAUUAUUAUGCGGACGGGAUAUAUAGCAUCGACAUAAUUAUCCUACAGAUGUCAUGGUAAUGAAAGUAAGACUUUUUGUCAUUUCCUUUCUGGGUUCAGGCUAGACACGAUUAUAUAUUGUUUGCCUUCUUAAUAACUAUAUUGCGGAUGAAGUGUUCCUAAAACACCAUUGGAUCACCUCAAGGGCGGAGCCAGAAAUUUUUUUCCUCCUGGACUACCAAGUGCCAUUUAGAUUUCCCAAAUAAUAACAAACCAUUACACGCCAAACACUCCCCCUAACUUGCUCACAAACCAACUUUUCCUACUGUCAGAACUUUUAUCGAACACCUUGAGGACGCUGUUUUAUAGCCCCUUUCUCUCCCUUGUUUGAAUGUUCAAUAACCAGUGCACAAGCACCCAACAAUCAUAAUAGAUAAUAACAAACUUGAAUAGACUAAAUUAAGCCCCAACUCCCCCAAAACUGUCAAAACCAAACUUUAUCCAACUAAUUGUAAAAACUAUGAAAUUUUACCUUCAAUGCAAAUCAGGAAGAAAUUCAUUAAAUGGUUCACUUCUAUUUUUUAUCAACUAUGAUGCAAACAAAGUUAAGGCGAUCUAACUAAUCAGCUCAGUCAAAAAAAAAUUUCAUUUAUAGUAAUAUGAAAACGUCAAAAAAGCAUACCAUUCAAUUAUCCAGAAUACAAAAGUAAAGCAAGACUCCAAUUCUUUACUUCCAAAAUAGUACUGCUAAAUAGAAAACUAAAUGAAGAUGAAGAUGUGUCGCCAUUGGAGUAUCAAAGAAAGAGGUCUGUCAAGUUUGCAGGUCCUCCUUUACUGGCUAAAGUGACAGUUAGCAGAGAUGUCAGUGAACAAGUUAUAGUUGCAUCACCCAAUUCUCUCAAGCAAAAGGCUAAAAGAAAACCACUUAUCCCUUUAAUUAGUGGGAAAUUCUCAAAAAAGAAGGGUAGCCAAGAAGUUGAGCCUCAUAAACGAGGCAGAUAGUUUGGGAUACAAUACCAUGACAAUCUACUGGAAGUGUCAUCAGUACCAAGAACAUACAGGACGUCAGUACCAAAAACAUAAAGAAAAUUGCAUCGUCAUAUUCACAAAUAAAUAUUCUUUUUACCUGAAAAAAAUCGGUUCCUUCUGAUUUCGUUUUCUAUGUGAGACACUAUUGAGACACAAGAAAACAGGAAAACAAUAUUGGGCUGAGCUAUUGAAGAUAUAUAAGUUCUAAAUAUUUUUCAAAAACUCCACCCGGACUAAAGCCCACCCUAGUCUAUACAUGCCUCUGCCCCUGGAUCACCUCACCAACGGUCAAGAUUGGGUUGGGAGGAUCGGAGUUUCCAUCCUCCCAGAACCGUCGUUAUAACCUGGUUCAAACCCUAUGACGAUGAGUUUAAUAACAAUUUUGUCCAUUGUUAAAGGUGGUCCGCAUACGGACUAUCCGCAUAUGAAAUGGCAUAUAUAUAUAUAUAUAUAUAUAUAUAUAUAUAUAUAUAUAUAUAUAUAUAUAUAUAUAUAUAUAAUUUGAGGAUUCUAUAAUUAAAUUAAUUUGACGAAUCAUAAAAUUAGUAAAUAAUCGUCAAAAAUAGAAAAAAAAUCACAUAAUAUGAAAAAAGAUAUAUAAAAAGUUACCUCGUUACGGAUUGCCAACCUGUUUGACACUGUUAUGCAAAGUUUACACUAUAAGCAACGUUUGAUGGGGCUUGAACCACACUCUGGUUCGUCCAUCCCAUCUCGAUGCUACGCCUGAUGAUUAUUUAAGAAUUUUUUAAAACUGAUGUAUUAUUUUAAUUUAAAGGACUUAGAAAUAUAGUAGAGUGUGGGAGGCCAUAAUCUGGGAAUGGUUAAACUAUUUGUAAUUUGGUCUAAUUUCAAAACAUAUAGAAGCUUCUGUUAGAAAGUCGG
rnacentral:lncRNA from 1 species